rnacentral:rRNA from 1 species
UACGUAGGGUGCGAGCGUUGUCCGGAAUUAUUGGGCGUAAAGGGCUCGUAGGCGGUUUGUCGCGUCGGGAGUGAAAACCCAGGGCUUAACCCUGGGCUGGCUUUCGAUACGGGCAGACUAGAGGUAUGCAGGGGAGAACGGAAUUCCUGGUGUAGCGGUGAAAUGCGCAGAUAUCAGGAGGAACACCGGUGGCGAAGGCGGGUCUCUGGGCCGAUACUGACGCUGAGGAGCGAAAGCGUGGGGAGCGAACAGG